rnacentral:rRNA from 1 species
UGGGGAAUAUUGGACAAUGGGCGGAAGCCUGAUCCAGCCAUGCCGCGUGUGUGAAGAAGGCCUUUUGGUUGUAAAGCACUUUAAGCGAGGAGGAUGCUACUUGGAUUAAUACUCUAGGAUAGUGGACGUUACUCGCAGAAUAAGCACCGGCUAACUCUGUGCCAGCAGCCGCGGUAAUACAGAGGGUGCGAGCGUUAAUCGGAUUUACUGGGCGUAAAGCGUGCGUAGGCGGCUUCUUAAGUCGGAUGUGAAAUCCCUGAGCUUAACUUAGGAAUUGCAUUCGAUACUGGGAAGCUAGAGUAUGGGAGAGGAUGGUAGAAUUCCAGGUGUGGCGGUGAAAUGCGUAGAGAUCUGGAGGAAUACCGAUGGCGAAGGCAGCCAUCUGGCCUAAUACUGACGCUGAGGUACGAAAGCAUGGGGAGCAAACAGG